CCGACGAUAAGUUCGAACCCUGCUCCAACGACAUUGCCAUCGCCACGCCGGCCGGUGGCCGCGCCUCCUCCAAAUCCGAUCCUGGCCAGGCACCUUCACCCCGCCCACCCGCUCGCCGACCGCGUCUGCUGACUCUUCGCCCUGCCGAUCGAGCCCUAGGCAUGCCGCUUGCCGACGCACAAGAGGGAGAUGCGUCAGGAUCAAGGAAGACUCGGUCGGGUGCGAGGUGGCGGCCGGGGCGGCGGUCUUCGGAGUCGCUGGAAUCCGAAUCUACUGCUCUGCACUUCCGCCGCCUCCGCGGCAGCAAGCGGGCCAAGAGGGCGAGCUCCACCGCCGCCCCCGUGAUUGUGACCACAACCCAUUCAAUGGCGGCGGGCCCGUGGCUGCGAUCCACUAAGGGGAUGAGGAGUGAUGCGGCCGCGAAGGAGCGGCCGGAGGGGUCGAAGAGAAGAAAAAGGAAUAGGGCCGAUCGCUGUAAGGAUGAGGAGGGGUGGGAGGCGAAGAAGAGGAAUUUGGGGCCGGAAGCAAGGGACGAGGAGGAGGAGGUCUCGUCUGCACCCAGCUCUCCACUCUGCGUGCCCUACAUCCCCCAGGAAGUUAUUGGGCGUGAUUGCAACGGCCUGGAGAUCUACAAACCUAUCGACUCGGAGACAUUGAGGGCAUAUCGGCAGAGAGCCGCAAAAUACGAUGAGAAAACAGCUCGCAUAAUGAAACUGCCCACGCUUGAUUCGACUGUAUCUAGCAAGGGCCCUGACGACUUGGAGUUGCUUCAGGUCCAUGAAUCUGCUGCUACAGAAACAGUCCUUCGUGCCGGAAAGUUUGUUUUGGGCCUUUCAUCCUCAGUUGGUGGUAAGCCGUUGGCUCAGUGCACAGGUUUCUUGAUUGAUUGGGAUCAGAAGGACAAGAGGGGCACUAUUCUGACAUCCGCGCAUCUGAUUAUCUCAAAAGCAUCCUUAGACAGCUGGUUGUGCAAAGAUGAGUAUGUUCCUAACGCUCAGGUCAUCAUUCACUUGCCAGAUAAGACCACUGCAGAUGGCAAACUGUGCUACUACCAUAAACAUUACAAUCUUGCAUUAUUUAGCAUUAAGAAAGUGAAUCUGCCUGUUCAUCUCCCUUUGUACGAUGACACUGUGAAACAUGGUCAAGAGGUCUUCAUGCUUGGAAGGAAUGAAAAUUCAAAUAUAAGGAUUACCUAUGGUAGGGUGCAGUAUUUGAAUCCAAACUUGUAUGAGCGAUACCACUUAUUGUACACUUCUGGUGCAGGUGCAGACCCACAGUGCGGCACCGGAGGGCCAGUCCUUGAUUUUGACGGAAAGGUUGUUGGGAUGUCCACGCCUGACAGGGAAGGGUCUUUUGUACCUUCUUCCAUUAUACUCAAGUGGUUGCAUUUAUGGAGAAAAUAUGGAUGUGUUCCUCGACCCCACCUUGGGUUGAAGUUUUGUGCCAUCAAAUUUCUGAAACCUGCUCAUGUAGAGAGGAUAUUGCUGGACUGUGGCAUUGAUGGGGGGCUUAUUGUUCAAGAGGUAUCUAAUGGAUCUUGUGCUGAGAAACAUGGAAUCAGAGUUGGUGAUGUUGUCGAAUGUUUGAAUGGAGAGCAUAAUUCUUCUCCACUUGAGUUGGACAAUAUGUUACUACGCUUGGUUGAGCAACAUCUUGACAGAGGAAAUCACAAUGAUUCCAAAAUGGAUGUAGAAGUUGGCAUAUUUCGCACACGCAAAGGUGUGCGACGUGUCAUAAAGAUGACAUUGAAUGUAACUGAGGAGGGAGAAGUUGUUGUAGAAGGUUCUUAUCCUGUUACUAUUGGAGAAGGGGUUUCUGCUUUGGUGUCACCUGAGCAAUUGGAUCCAGGUUCUUAUCGUCUGGAGAAAGCUUAAGUUCGCCACUCGACCAAGCUGCUCUGGGCAAGUGACCUCGUUGUUUUCUUCACGAAUUGUCAUGCUAAAAGAAGUUCGCAUGCCUGUUGUUGAGCAGGGUCGAGAAAGGCACGUGGGUCUUUCAUUCAACUCGCAGAUAGAUACAUUCUCACCAUAUACUAGCGGCUGCCUCCGGAUCCUUUUGCUGUGGAUGUUAAUAUCUUUUCUUAUCGUUUUUGAUGAUCAUGCGAAUCAUGUUCGUGGACAGCGUUCUACUUACUGUUAGCUAGGAGUAAGUGAUAUUGAGUUAUUGACAUUGUUAUACUUGGUAAUGGAAAAAUUCUUGUGAAAAUCCUGUUCCUUCAUGUAUAAUAUUGGGAAUAUAUCAUUCCCCUUUCCCACAGUGAUCACAAAUCAUAAGGUGGAACUUCAUAUUUGCAA